AACGGAGGGUGCAAGCGUUGUUCGGAAUUACUGGGCGUAAAGCGCGUGCAGGCGGCUUUUUAAGUUUCGUGUGAAAUCCCCCGGCUUAACCGGGGAACUGCACGGAAAACUGAGAUGCUUGAGUACGGGAGAUGUGGGCGGAAUUCCCAGUGUAGAGGUGAAAUUCGUAGAUAUUGGGAGGAACAUCGGCGGCGAAAGCGGCUCACAAGACCGAUACUGACGCUCAUACGCGAGAGCGUGGGUAGCAAACAGG
rnacentral:rRNA from 1 species